CCUACGGGAGGCAGCAGUGGGGGAUAUUGCACAAUGGGGGGAACCCUGAUGCAGCGACGCCGCGUGGGUGAAGGAGCGUUUCGGCGCGUAAAGCCCUAUCGGCAGGGAAGAAGAUGACGGUACCUGACCAAGAAGCCCCGGCCAACGACGUGCCAGCAGCCGCGGUAAUACGUAGGGGGCAAGCGUUAUCCGGAUUUACUGGGUGUAAAGGGGGCGCAGACGGCAAUGCAAGCCAGGAGUGAAAGCCCGGGGCCCAACCCCGGGACUGCUCUUGGAACUGCAUGGCUGGAGUACAGGAGGGGCAGGCGGAAUGCCUGGUGUAGCGGUGAAAGGCGUAGAGAUUAGGAGGAACACCAGUGGCGAAGGCGGCUUACUGGACUGUAACUGACGUUGAGGCUCGAAAGCGUGGGGAGCAAACAGGAUUAGAUACCCGAGUAGUC
rnacentral:rRNA from 1 species